AAUCAAAUACAAUAGUCAACAGGAUUUUUAUUUAUUAAUUAAUGACAAUUAUUUAAAUAGAUUAUCAGUGGAUUUCAACGAUGAAAACUCUCUUUCUGAUGUCUUGACUGGAAGGAAGGAUGGAAGCAAACAACACUGACCUACCUCGACGGACUGCUAGCUGUCAUCCUACCAGCUGAUCAUCUGGCAUCGUUCGGCAGGGAAAUAAAGUUAUUUCCCUGUUGAGGUUUAGAUAUAAUUUGGAUUUACUUGUUUCCAUAUCAUUUAUGACGUGUCUAAUCUAGAGUCCAAUGGAAUCUAUUGACAUGACUGGCCUACCAGGACCAGAAUAAUUUUGAGGACACUGAUGUUGCUGAGCAUCAAGGACAAGGUGAUGCAGAUCAGAGGACACACCGCCGCUUUAAUUUUUUUUUUCUGUUUCAGAUCCAGUCAACGAGAAUGAGGAUAUCCAUGGGUGCCAAGGAAUGCCGAGACCAGGAGAAGAAGGACCAGGACCAAGAAGAAGACCAAUUAUUUAUUUAAUUAAUUUAAUUAUUUAUUUAUUAUUUAUUUGUAUUUAUUCAUUUAAUUUUAGCUGACUUGUAAUUAGUUUUAAAUAAUUAUUUUGUUAAGGUGUGAGUGUGAUGGAUGCUGUACGAGUGAUUUAUAAUUUAUGAAUUUAAUUUAUAUUUUUAUUUUAUAUGAAUGAGUACGAGUGGCAUGUUUUUAUUGCAUGGCUUGUGCUUGCUUGAUUUUUUUUUUAUUUUUUUCGGGUUUGAUCGCAUGGUUUGGAUUGUUUAUAUUUAAUUUAAUUUUAUUCCUUAUUUUUCCCUUCCCUUUUAAUUUUAAGUGUGUUUUUUUUAUUCGGGUUUUGAUCGCAUGGUUUGGUUUGCUUCUAUUUAAUUUUAUUUUUCCUUUUUUUAUUCCCGUUCCCGCUUAAUUUUAAGUCUUUUUUAUUAUUAUUUAAUUUAAAUUUAAGAGUGUAAUCAGUGUGUGUGUGAUUUUGUUUAUUGCGACAUCCAGGCACG